GGGGGCCUACGGGACGCAGCAGUGAGGAAUAUUGGUCAAUGGGAGAGAUCCUGAACCAGCCAAGCCGCGUGAGGGAAGACGGCCCUAUGGGUUGUAAACCUCUUUUGUCGGAGAACAAAACCCGGGACGAGUCCCGGACUGCGUGUAUCCGAAGAAAAAGCAUCGGCUAACUCCGUACCAGCAGCCGCGGUAAUACGGAGGAUGCGAGCGUUAUCCGGAUUUAUUGGGUUUAAAG
rnacentral:rRNA from 1 species